UGUAUUGCUAUUUGUUUUUCCUUUUUUUAAUGCUUACAUUCAACUAUUUACUCUAACUAUUGUCUUUCAUUAAACCAGGUAGGAAUGC
rnacentral:ribozyme from 12 species